GUCAGUAUUUGUUUUUUUCUUUGACGAUAUGACGAGACGUUCAAUGAUGCGUUUUUCCUCCGGAUUGGAGUCCACAGCAGCCCUAUCUCGUAAGACUGAGUCCAAGAAAAGGAAGUUCUUGAAUGCCGUGUUGGAAUCGCCCGUGGUUCCGGAUAAUUGCAUCUCUCCUGGACAAACUGCAGCAUCAUCUGUAACAGUAAAAGCCACUCAAAAUUCCAGCCAGCUACAGCAAGAUGGUCAUUGGAAAUUAUCCGGAAAUCCUUCACUUACCAAUCGAUUUGUUUUGAAUGUUCUUCCCUCUCAGGGAAUUUGACCACAACCAAAGCGUCUGAGGAAGAAAGCUCCUGAAGGAUUGGGUUCCUAUGUUGUUUGUGAGCUUCUCAGUAGACUUAUAUGUUCUGUAGGUCCUGUACAUAUAGCUCACAUGAGCUUUUGUCAUCUCCUCUGUAAACAAAAAUAAAUGAAAUUAAUUCCAAACUCGUUUUCAAA